rnacentral:rRNA from 1 species
GACAGAGGGGGCAAGCGUUGCUCGGAAUCACUGGGCGUAAAGCGCACGUAGGCGGCUUGUUAAGUCAGGGGUGAAAUCCUGGAGCUCAACUCCAGAACUGCCUUUGAUACUGGCGAGCUUGAGUCCGGGAGAGGUGAGUGGAACUGCGAGUGUAGAGGUGAAACUCGUAGAUAUUCGCAAGAACACCAGUGGCGAAGGCGGCUCACUGGCCCGGUACUGACGCUGAGGCAUGAAAGCGUGGGGAGCAAACAGG